rnacentral:tRNA from 1 species
GGGAAUGCAGCUUAGUGGUACAGUGCAUGCCUAGCAUGCAUGAAGCCCUGGGUUCAAUUCCUCAGUACCA